AGAGUUUGAUCCUGGCUCAGAUUGAACGCUGGCGGCAUGCCUUACACAUGCAAGUCGAACGGCAGCACGAGAGCUUGCUCUUGGUGGCGAGUGGCGAACGGGUGAGUAAUAUAUCGGAACGUACCCUAGAGUGGGGGAUAACGUAGCGAAAGUUACGCUAAUACCGCAUACGAUCUACGGAUGAAAGUGGGGGAUCGCAAGACCUCAUGCUCAUGGAGCGGCCGAUAUCUGAUUAGCUAGUUGGUGGGGUAAAAGCUCACCAAGGCGACGAUCAGUAGCUGGUCUGAGAGGACGACCAGCCACACUGGAACUGAGACACGGUCCAGACUCCUACGGGAGGCAGCAGUGGGGAAUUUUGGACAAUGGGCGCAAGCCUGAUCCAGCAAUGCCGCGUGAGUGAAGAAGGCCUUCGGGUUGUAAAGCUCUUUUGUCAGGGAAGAAACGGUGGACUCUAAUACAGAUCACUAAUGACGGUACCUGAAGAAUAAGCACCGGCUAACUACGUGCCAGCAGCCGCGGUAAUACGUAGGGUGCAAGCGUCAAUCGGAAUUACUGGGCGUAAAGCGUGCGCAGGCGGUUGUGCAAGACAGAUGUGAAAUCCCCGGGCUCAACCUGGGAAUUGCAUUUGUGACUGCACGGCUAGAGUGUGUCAGAGGGGGGUAGAAUUCCACGUGUAGCAGUGAAAUGCGUAGAGAUGUGGAGGAAUACCGAUGGCGAAGGCAGCCCCCUGGGAUAACACUGACGCUCAUGCACGAAAGCGUGGGGAGCAAACAGGAUUAGAUACCCUGGUAGUCCACGCCCUAAACGAUGUCUACUAGUUGUCGGGUCUUAAUUGACUUGGUAACGCAGCUAACGCGUGAAGUAGACCGCCUGGGGAGUACGGUCGCAAGAUUAAAACUCAAAGGAAUUGACGGGGACCCGCACAAGCGGUGGACGAUGUGGAUUAAUUCGAUGCAACGCGAAAAACCUUACCUACCCUUGACAUGUCUGGAAUCCUUGAGAGAUCAGGGAGUGCUCGAAAGAGAAUCAGAACACAGGUGCUGCAUGGCUGUCGUCAGCUCGUGUCGUGAGAUGUUGGGUUAAGUCCCGCAACGAGCGCAACCCUUGUCAUUAGUUGCUACGAAAGGGCACUCUAAUGAGACUGCCGGUGACAAACCGGAGGAAGGUGGGGAUGACGUCAAGUCCUCAUGGCCCUUAUGGGUAGGGCUUCACACGUCAUACAAUGGUACAUACAGAGGGCCGCCAACCCGCGAGGGGGAGCUAAUCCCAGAAAGUGUAUCGUAGUCCGGAUUGUAGUCUGCAACUCGACUACAUGAAGUUGGAAUCGCUAGUAAUCGCGGAUCAGCAUGUCGCGGUGAAUACGUUCCCGGGUCUUGUACACACCGCCCGUCACACCAUGGGAGCGGGUUUCACCAGAAGUGGGUAGCCUAACCGCAAGGAGGGCGCUCACCACGGUGGGAUUCGUGACUGGGGUGAAGUCGUAACAAGGUA
rnacentral:rRNA from 1 species